CGAACGCUGGCGGCGUGCUUAACACAUGCAAGUCGAACGGAAAGGCCCUGCUUUUGUGGGGUGCUCGAGUGGCGAACGGGUGAGUAACACGUGAGUAACCUGCCCUUGACUUUGGGAUAACUUCAGGAAACUGGGGCUAAUACCGGAUAGGAGCUCCUGCUGCAUGGUGGGGGUUGGAAAGUUUCGGCGGUUGGGGAUGGACUCGCGGCUUAUCAGCUUGUUGGUGGGGUAGUGGCUUACCAAGGCUUUGACGGGUAGCCGGCCUGAGAGGGUGACCGGCCACAUUGGGACUGAGAUACGGCCCAGACUCCUACGGGAGGCAGCAGUGGGGAAUAUUGCACAAUGGGCGGAAGCCUGAUGCAGCAACGCCGCGUGCGGGAUGACGGCCUUCGGGUUGUAAACCGCUUUCGCCUGUGACGAAGCGUGAGUGACGGUAAUGGGUAAAGAAGCACCGGCUAACUACGUGCCAGCAGCCGCGGUGAUACGUAGGGUGCGAGCGUUGUCCGGAUUUAUUGGGCGUAAAGGGCUCGUAGGUGGUUGAUCGCGUCGGAAGUGUAAUCUUGGGGCUUAACCCUGGGCGUGCUUUCGAUACGGGUCGACUUGAGGAAGGUAGGGGAGAAUGGAAUUCCUGGUGGAGCGGUGGAAUGCGCAGAUAUCAGGAGGAACACCAGUGGCGAAGGCGGUUCUCUGGGCCUUUCCUGACGCUGAGGAGCGAAAGCGUGGGGAGCGAACAGGCUUAGAUACCCUGGUAGUCCACGCUGUAAACGGUGGGUACUAGGUGUGGGGUCCAUUCCACGGGUUCCGUGCCGUAGCUAACGCUUUAAGUACCCCGCCUGGGGAGUACGGCCGCAAGGCUAAAACUCAAAGGAAUUGACGGGGCCCCGCACAAGCGGCGGAGCAUGCGGAUUAAUUCGAUGCAACGCGUAGAACCUUACCUGGGUUUGACAUGGAUCGGGAGUGCUCAGAGAUGGGUGUGCCUCUUUUGGGGUCGGUUCACAGGUGGUGCAUGGCUGUCGUCAGCUCGUGUCGUGAGAUGUUGGGUUAAGUCCCGCAACGAGCGCAACCCUUGUUCACUGUUGCCAGCACGUUAUGGUGGGGACUCAGUGGAGACCGCCGGGGUCAACUCGGAGGAAGGUGGGGAUGACGUCAAGUCAUCAUGCCCCUUAUGUCCAGGGCUUCACGCAUGCUACAAUGGCUGGUACAGAGAGUGGCGAGCCUGUGAGGGUGAGCGAAUCUCGGAAAGCCGGUCUCAGUUCGGAUUGGGGUCUGCAACUCGACCUCAUGAAGUCGGAGUCGCUAGUAAUCGCAGAUCAGCAACGCUGCGGUGAAUACGUUCCCGGGGCUUGUACACACCGCCCGUCAAGUCAUGAAAGUUGGUAACACCCGAAGCCGGUGGCCUAACCGUUGUGGGGGAGCCGUCGAAGGUGGGACUGGUGAUUAGGACUAAG
rnacentral:rRNA from 1 species